AAGACUAUACUUUCAGGGAUCAUUUCUAUAGUUUGAAGCUGAGAAAUGUGUUUCUAAAGUGUUUGGUCUUGCUCUUUCAUGAUGAUGAAAUAUCGCAUCCCCUUCCGAGCGCAAAAUAGAUUGAGAGUAUUGAAUUUUUAAUCAACCGCUCUCCAUCAUUGAUGACCGUUCCAAUUCUGCAAAGAAUUUGGAGGAAAGGGGUGCAUUCUGAGUGGU